rnacentral:lncRNA from 1 species
CAUCUAAUGGUUUCAGAAUGUAGGUCUAUUGGGGCUACACAACAGGUUCGCCUGCGAGACCUGAAGAGAGUCACAUGUUUGGGCCACCUAGCAGUCCAACCCGAGUUAAUCCAAAGAAUAAAGGAAGCGCAGUCAGUCGACCCCGCCCUGGUAACCCGCAAGAAGAGUGCAGAACAGGGAGUGAGCUCAGAAUUUCAGAUCUCCGCCGACGGAUUGAUUCGUUUCAGGGACAGAGUGUGUGUCCCAGAUGACAG